UCCCCGUUCUCCUGGGCAGUCUCUCCAGAGUUCUCGGCUUGACCCGUUAGUAACUGAAGACAGGGGUUGCGCUCGUUGCGGGACUUAACCCAACACCUCACGACACGAGCUGACGACAGCCAUGCACCACCUGUCACCGACCCCCGAAGGGACCCCCCAUCUCUGAAGGUUUUCCGGCGAUGUCAAACCCAGGUAAGGUUCUUCGCGUCGCAUCGAAUUAAUCCGCAUGCUCCGCCGCUUGUGCGGACCCCCGUCAAUUCCUUUGAGUUUUAGCCUUGCGGCCGUACUCCCCAGGCGGGGCGCUUAAUGCGUUAGCUACGGCGCAGGAAACCGGAGAGGCCCCCCACACCUAGCGCCCAACGUUUACAGCGUGGACUAC
rnacentral:misc_RNA from 1 species